CAGCCACAGACUGACAAGCUAUUCUGUACAGGUGUAAAUUCAGCCUCUCCUAGAGAAGCUGUUCUUGAGGCUCACGAGCCUUGGAGACAGGGUGAACAUGGCCUGGGUUUCUAACCUGUCUGAGGAGUGGAAGGGAAAGACUAGGUUUCAGUUCCUCGUUGAAGGGUUAUUGUGGUGGACAAUCCAUAAAACCUAACUUUUUCUAUUCUAGAAUAAUAUGGCUACUACUGCUUUUUCUGAAGGGGCCAGUACGAGCAGUGAGAAUGUAUCCUGGAUCAGGCGGAAGUGAUGACUGCACGAAUCCUGAUGAACCCAGGAGAAAAUCUGCAGAAAAAAAGUGAAAAGCCCAUGCAGACACUGAAAUCUUGUCCACGUCAAGUUGUUGAAGUGAAAUCCAUAGCUGACUGGGUUGGGUGUCUGCAGGAUCCUUCCUAAUGAGCUGUGGAAGUAAGUUUAGAGGGAAAUGUACUACGGGAUUGAGGGAAGAAGUGAUCCACGGGAAGGUCUUUCACAAGAAGGAGUCUAAGGUAAGAAAGACAUGGAAGACUACUGUUCUGAUGUGCAUAAGCUAACCCAUAAAAGGGAGUGCCAGGAGGAAAGAAGGAAGUGGAAUCAAGCAGUGAUGGUACCACAGGAAGACAGGUCCUUUCAGAUAACUAGUUUUUACAUAGUUUUUGGGAAGAGUGAAUGAAAAGUAAAUAGUGGUACUUAAUUUUGAAAGUACUAAAGAAUCUGAGAAAAUAAAAUAGAGACAGGGUGCUCCGUCCAAACAUCACUUUUCUUUUCCUAGUCAGAGUUAUGCUUCUCCCUAGACUUACUGAUUCCCUUAGAAGCAGUUUCCAUCAGUGUUGGAAACACACACUCUAAAUGCACGCAGUUCAAAAACUGUGCAACUUUUAUCUCCUUACUACAAUAAUAUGAAGGCAAAUUUUGAAGAGGUUGCAAGGAUGGCCACUGGUAGUGAUUAAAUACAAUUGUCCACAUAUACUUUCAGGCUCAGGAAGUAUUUAAAUUACUGAUUACCAAAGGUUAUGAGGGAAAAGCAUCACUCUACACGUGCUUUGUUCUUCUGUAAGCAGUCUGUUACUGGUUAUGUUCCGAGAUAAGGUACUAGGCUGGAUGGAUCUUUGGUGUGGCUGUGUCAGCCUUUGUUGAGAUAAGGUCAUGAACUUGGCCUUCUUGCUGUUAUUUCUUUUGUAUGUGGGUUGGAAUCAAUACAUCUUGUAAAACAUUAGCAUUAAUAUUGCUUGUAGGAAAAGCAGCCCUUAAAAAAACUCCUCAGGACUUGAGGAUGUUUUUUACAGGCCAAUACUGAGUUUUCAAUAGUCACAAAUAUAUACCUGAAAGGUAAAACAUUUAUAUUUUUUUCUGAAAGAACUUUAUGGUAAACUUGAGAAAAAAAACCUGCUUCAGACAUCUAAACUUGAAGAUCUUCCCUACUCUACUGAUAGAUUUUUCUCUUAAUCCUCUCGUGCUGAAAGUAUUAACUGCCUUCACUAGCACCUGGACAAAAGGGGAAAAUAAAAGUUAAUAUCUGUACAUAUCUGAUGGCUAUCAGAAAUCUUCAUCCCUGGAAAGUACCAUUGACAUGCUUCAGAAAAGACCAGAGAGACAAAAUAUUUGCAUUAUUAUUUCAUUAGAAAUUGAAAAGUAUGUUGGAGAAGUCACACACUCUGUAGUUCAGCUCAUGUCACAGCGCUGUUUUUAAAUUGUACAAUGUUGACUUGCUGUUACGAAAAUUCAGUGUUACAGGAAAUCAGAAACAAUAUGGUAUAGUUUACACUAACUCUGCAUUAAAAUGUUCCAUCUGUUCUUGCUUUUGGUUCUUAGAGAAUGGCUUUUUCAUCUCUGUAAUGCUUUUCACUUCCUAUUAGUAAGGCUUUUAAAGGUAGGCACUGAGUUAGUAUAAAACCCACAGCUUUUGAGUUUAAACGCCUAUUAAAACUAAAGCUGUCUGGAACUACAAUAAAAAUUUAUUUUGGCUACAAAAGACAACUUUGAAACCUAACCCAUCUGUAUUUUUCCUCCUCCAAACAGAGCAACAUCCUGUAUCAUAGAAUAUUUAACUUAAACAGAGACUGCAUACCUUUAUGAAAACAAUUGUUUCAACUUAAUUUAUGGGGGGUAAUCAGCUCGUAUUAAGGUUUUCAGUACUCCAGGAUGCUAAUAUAAAUUGGUUACAGGAGAUGUAAUAACUAGAGUAAUUCCUCAGAAUCAUCUGAAAUGUGCUGUUGCUGUUGACUUAGUAUAUAACCUGCCUAUGUUGUAAUUUCAAAUUGCCAUAAAAAUUCAUGUGCAGUGGCAUACAGUAAUUGCGAGUUAACUGUCUGUGCAAAUUAGGCGUACAGCCAAAGUUUCAUUUUACUGAUAAUCUAUGCUCAUGUGCACUGACUUCCAAACAAUUACAGGAUAAAUCCACCAAAAUUAUUUAUUUGUAGGAGUUGAUCAAGUCUUUGCAAGCCUGGGCACACCAGGGAGAUACGCACAUGUAUCUAGAAGGGCUGUUCGACCAGUCAGUUUAUUGACUCAAGAACAAACCUGACUCACUGUGAAGUGCAGCAUCCCUGGGAUGCAUACAGCCUGCAACUGCCAUGAGUGGGAGUCAAACAUAUCAAAGAGAGACUGGAUCCCUGGGGUUGAGCUCCCCCCAUAGAACAGUUUGACAGAUUUUGCAUUGAAAAGGGCCUGUUUUUAGCACCCUCUAAAUAUAACCAGCCCUGAAACUCCCACAGAGAUUCCUUUCUGUCUGCCUUCAGAGGAUGAGAUAAGGCUCCCUCUCUUGUGACUUCAGUCUGGAGUACCUCUAUCAUCCCCCCCAACCCUGAUAACAGCUGGCUUUGCACAUAUUUGAGAGCAAAGCAUGAUCUGAGUUGAGGGAUUCAUUUCUCUUUCUGUAGAUUACAACCUUCUUCUUCAUCCCAACCUCCUUUGUAACAUCUGCAUCGUAGAAUCAGUGCAAGACAUUUGGGCAUCCAGGAGGCAGUUGGCUCCCUUCAUCUUCUGGCCAUUUUUUUUCUCACCAUUUUGGGAACAGACACCUUGGACAAUUUCCUUUUCACCCCGCAAUCCUUCCUUUCUAGACCUUCUCUUCCUCAGUAUACUUGAAUGCAGCAUCAAAGCUGAAGUGUGUUUGCCCUCUUCCUCUCCCCGUUUCCCCACGUAUGCCAAGAUACACAAAUUGUGGAUGCUAAAGCAGAAUUUAUGUAUGUUGUGAUAUACACUGGAUGUUCUGCUUACUUGCAUGAGGUUCACAUCCUCAUAAGCCCACAGGAAAUCCCAGCAAUAUUUUUCUAGCCGAAUCUCCUGUGCUGAGGUGCUGGGCACAGCAGGGGCUGGAGGAAAAGAGCCAUUUCUGCUUUGAAUAUACUGCAGUCUAGAAGUUUAGCUGAGAAGGACCAACCAGUAUUAUUAAAAUAUCUCUCUUUUACUCAGUGACUGUGAGAAAUGCAAUGCAAGGACUUAAUUCACAUUUUAUAGUAGCAUACCUGGGAAU